GGACCCGCACAAGCGGUGGAGCAUGUGGUUUAAUUCGAUGCAACGCGAAGAACCUUACCUGGUCUUGACAUGUCUGGAAUCCCGAAGAGAUUUGGGAGUGCCGCAAGGAACCAGAACACAGGUGCUGCAUGGCUGUCGUCAGCUCGUGUCGUGAGAUGUUGGGUUAAGUCCCGCAACGAGCGCAACCCUUGUCCUUAGUUGCCAUCAUUAAGUUGGGAACUCUAAGGAGACCGCCGGUGACAAACCGGAGGAAGGUGGGGAUGACGUCAAGUCAUCAUGGCCUUUAUGACCAGGGCUACACACGUGCUACAAUGGCAGGUACAGAGGGAAGCCAACCCGCGAGGGGGAGCUAAUCCCAGAAAACCUGUCUUAGUCCGGAUUGGAGUCUGCAACUCGACUCCAUGAAGUUGGAAUCGCUAGUAAUCGCAGAUCAGCAUUGCUGCGGUGAAUACGUUCCCGGGUCUU
rnacentral:rRNA from 1 species